CGCCUCUUGAAUUUUAUAAGAGGUCCAGCCUGCCCAGUGACCACAGUUCAACGGCCGCGGUAUCCUGACCGUGCGAAGGUAGCGUAAUCACUUGUUCUUUAAAUGGGGACUAGUAUGAAUGGCAUCACGAGGGUUAUACUGUCUCCUUUUUCCAAUCAGUGAAACUAAUCUCCCCGUGAAGAAGCGGGGAUAAAACCAUAAGACGAGAAGACCCUAUGGAGCUUUAAAUCUCCCUUUAAGCGCCGGCCUAUUUACUAAGUCACAGACCCCCUUAUAUUUACCCCCGCGCCAUGAAGAUGACUUUUAGGUUGGGGUGACCGCGGAGUACAAAAAAACCUCCACGUUGAACCAGGCUCCCAAGCCCUGAGCAAAGGACUACAACCCGAUGCACUAAAAAACUAACAUCCAUUGACCCAAUACUCUUGAUCAACGAACCAAGUUACCCUAGGGAUAACAGCGCAAUCUACUUUAAGAGUCCAUAUCGACAAGUAGGUUUACGACCUCGAUGUUGGAUCAGGGUAUCCCAGUGGUGCAGCCGCUACUAAUGGUUCGUUUGUUCAACGAUUAAAACCC
rnacentral:rRNA from 1 species